GACCCUCGCAUUAGCACCCCCGGAUCAGUGUGGUCGGCAUCUGACGCGUCACUGCGCUGUCAUCUGAAAGCCGCCUAGCAUACCAAUCCGACUAUAAAUGAAGCCGUAAUAAGGGUAGACGCCGACCGCAAAGUAAGGUAGUUGGAUACGUUUGUCCUUAAAGCUGUCAACUGCCACUUGCCAGUCAAUGUCAAGUCAUGAAAUGUGAAACCGCUCUAAAUAUCGGAAGAACAAAAGGUCAAACUACGGCAAUAAUGGAGCUCGAAAAACAACAGUGGCGGGCACAAACGUGAAAUAGCAAAGUCUGACGUGACACUUAAUUUUACCGCUUGUGUUUCUGUUACGUUGCUACGGAAGAAUGUUUCACCUCGAGCUCGCAAUAACUGAUUAUAUUGCUC